rnacentral:rRNA from 1 species
CCUACGGGGAGCAGCAGUAGGGAAUCUUCCACAAUGGGCGAAAGCCUGAUGGAGCAACGCCGCGUGGGUGAGGAAGGUCUUCGGAUCGUAAAACCCUGUUGUUAGAGAAGAAAGUGCGUGAGAGUAACUGUUCACGUUUCGACGGUAUCUAACCAGAAAGCCACGGCUAACUACGUGCCAGCAGCCGCGGUAAUACGUAGGUGGCAAGCGUUAUCCGGAUUUAUUGGGCGUAAAGGGAACGCAGGCGGUCUUUUAAGUCUGAUGUGAAAGCCUUCGGCUUAACCGGAGUAGUGCAUUGGAAACUGGGAGACGUGAGUGCAGAAGAGGAGAGUGGAACUCGAGGUGUAGCGGUGAAAUGCGUAGAUAUAUGGAAGAACACCAGUGGCGAAAGCGGCUCUCUGGUCUGUAACUGACGCUGAGGUUCGAAAGCGUGGGUAGCAAACAGGAUUAGAUACCCUUGUAGUC